rnacentral:tRNA from 1 species
CAGAGAAUAGUUUAAUAAAAAUAUUAAUUUUGGAGAUUAAUGAUAGAAGUAUUUCUUUCUCUGA